rnacentral:lncRNA from 10 species
GUUCAGCUAGAGAAUUCCUUCUCCCUGUGAAGUUUUACCCCCUGCUCCUCUGGCCACGCUCCCAGUGGAUCCCUGUGGUGCCAGCAGGAAUGGGCUGCUCCGGGGACCCAGCAAGCUCCCAGGGCCUUUCUGCUUCUUCCUUCACCCCUGUAUUUCGGUAGGCUCUCUGACUUGACUCAGCUCCAGUGUGAACAGCAGGAGAAAAUGAAACCUUUGAAAGAAAUGAAAAGAAACUACCUGCCUGUGGACAUUCUGGAAAUCAACGGCUGACCAAGAAGGACUGUGAACAAGCCUGCCUCCUGAUCCGGUGCCUCCGGGUCAUUUUCACCUGACGUGAGUCCUUGGCAGACUUUCGUGUUUGUAGUUCCUGCUUGUUCAUGGUGCAUAAGGUGACUAGGGAAAUCCUGAUGCCAGAAUUUCCCAAAUUACCCUACACCCAGGGCCCCGAGGAGCUCUGAGAUUUCAGUACCUUACCAGCUGCUGUAUCUUUAAACACAGGCUUGUUUUUUCCUUAUAAUUGAGAG